UACAGAGGGUGCAAGCGUUAAUCGGAAUUACUGGGCGUAAAGCGUGCGUAGACGGUUGCGUAAGUCAGAUGUGAAAGCCCCGGGCUCAACCUGGGAACUGCGUCCGAUACUGGAAGGCUUGAAUCCGGGAGAGGGAUGUGGAAUUCCAGGUGUAGCGGUGAAAUGCGUAGAUAUUAGGAAGAACACCAGUGGCGAAGGCGGCUCACUGGCCCGGUACUGACGCUGAGGCGCGAAAGCGUGGGGAGCAAACAGG
rnacentral:rRNA from 1 species